rnacentral:rRNA from 1 species
UACGUAGGGUGCGAGCGUUGUCCGGAAUUAUUGGGCGUAAAGAGCUUGUAGGCGGUCUGUCGCGUCUGCUGUGAAAAUCCGGGGUUCAACCCCGGACUUGCAGUGGGUACGGGCAGACUAGAGUGUGGUAGGGGAGACUGGAAUUCCUGGUGUAGCGGUGAAAUGCGUAGAUAUUGGGAAGAACACCUGAGGCGAAGGCGGGUUGCUGGGCCGACACUGACGCUGAGGCGCGAAAGCCAGGGGAGCGAACGGG